rnacentral:rRNA from 1 species
UUUCAGGGUAGCAAUAUUCUGGAGUUGGAGCGGCGCAAGGGUGCGUAACACGUGGGUAAUCUGCCAUGAAGUUCGGGAUAACUUGCUGAAAGGCGAGCUAAUACCGGAUGUGACAACCGAGAGGCAUCUUUUGGUUGUUAAAGUUGGGGACCGUAAGGCCUGACGCUUCUUGAUGAACCCGCGGCCUAUCAGCUAGUUGGUGAGGUAACGGCUCACCAAGGCUAAGACGGGUAGCUGGUCUGAGAGGACGACCAGCCACACUGGAACUGAGACACGGUCCAGACACCUACGGGUGGCAGCAGUCGAGAAUUUUUCACAAUGGGCGCAAGCCUGAUGGAGCGACGCCGCGUGGGGGAUGAAUGGCUUCGGCCCGUAAACCCCUGUCAUUCGCGAUCAAACCUCAUUAUUUAAAAGAUGAUGAGCUGAUAGUAGCGGAAGAGGAAGGGACGGCUAACUCUGUGCCAGCAGCCGCGGUAAUACAGAGGUCCCAAGCGUUGUUCGGAUUCACUGGGCGUAAAGGGUGCGUAGGUGGUGAGGUAAGUCGGAUGUGAAAGCUCGGAGCUCAACUCCGAAAUGGCAUUGGAAACUACCUUGCUCGAGGGUUGGAGGGGGGACUGGAAUACUUGGUGUAGCAGUGAAAUGCGUAGAUAUCAAGUGGAACACCAGUGGCGAAGGCGAGUCCCUGGACAACUCCUGACACUGAGGCACGAAAGCUAGGGGAGCAAACAGGAUUAGAUACCCUGGUAGUCCUAGCCGUAAACGGUGCACGUUUGCUGUAAAAGGAAUCGACCCCUUUUGUGGCGGAGCCAACGCGUUAAACGUG